AAUUUUCUUAUCAAAAAUGAAAACAUUAAUGUUCUUUUGCUUAAAAGAACAUUAGUGUAGAAAGUGUAUGUGAAUGAAUACAUUGUGAUUGCAUCGGUUAACAGAAUCACAGAAUGUUUCUAAAAAAAAAGCUACACAGAAGAACAGGCCCACAAAAUGCGAACAGGCUUUACAAAAAUGCGCAUAUUUUUAUUGAAACAGAUAAAAACUUCAGAACCAAAAUAGGAGAAAGACCACCCACACAGUUCCUAUGAUGCAGAAUUAGCAUAUCUGGGCUGUGAUUGUGCAUGGUUAUGCUCCAUGUUGGACACGCUCGCACUCAGUAGCUGUGCGCUUCGACUGGGAAACACGAUGAAGUGGCCGCCUCAGGGAUUAACGGAGGCAAAGGGAUGCAGCUCUUUUACAAGGAUCAUGAUAGCUGUAGAGCACUUCUGAACACAGCCUUGCUUGGUAAUGACUGUUGCAGCUUUUUUGUUUCUGUUACAGAUUUUUGUUUCUCUGUUUCCCAGAAUAAAAGGACUUGCAAAAACUGGCCGAGUCUUUUUCCCCGAGGUGCGUUUACGAGGAUCUCUCUCCAUCCUCAGUGGGUCAUGUCUCUGGCACUGCUUUUAUGUGCGAAGUAAAGGCUUAUCUCUCUUUGUGCCCUCCUCCAGUACCUGUCAUCAUUGUGACAUGCAGCUCUGUCAUCUACCGAAGAGCUCAUUCUGGCUCUCAGCUGUGGAUGAAGGAAGGACAUGCUGGCCAGGAUGGAGAGAUGAGGCAAACAGUUUGGGGGAUUUCAGUUUAGUCUCUGCAGAGUGAUUCCUGCCAAUGUGGAGAUGUUAACCCAUGGAGAAGAAGAGUUGGAUGGUUUUUGAUAGCAAGAACUCUGUGGUAAAGUUUUGAGGUGUGAGCUUUGGCCAGGAAUUAGAUCCAGUUGGGAACUCUGAGGAGUGACUGGGGGAGUGACCCUUAGAGGCUGAUUUCUGGAUAACUGCAUCCACCAUGACCGACUUCCACCCAUCUGCCUCUGUGGGCAGUUCCAAGGGCAGCUCUCUUGUUUCCAGUGACUGGAACAUCACGGGCAGCGGCCCCUGGUUGUUGGCCUUCAUGUUGACUGCCAUCAUCUUCAUGACCGUCUGUGGCAACAUCCUGCUCAUCGCUUUGGUGUUUGCCCACCGCUCUUUGCGCUGCACCUCCAACUGCUUCCUGGUGUCUCUGUUCUUCUCCGACCUGAUGGUGGCGUUGGUGGUCAUGCCCCCAGCCAUGCUCAACGUGCUGUGCGGCUCUUGGAUGCUGUGGCCUGCCUUUUGCCCGGUUUGGCUUUGCUUCGACGUCAUGUGCUGCAGUGCGUCCAUCCUGAACUUGUGUGUGAUUAGCCUUGACCGCUACCUCUUCAUCAUUUCGCCACUACGUUACAAGCAGAGGAUGACCCCACCCAGGGCUCUACUUCUGGUUGGGGCCGCUUGGAGUCUGGCAGCCCUGGCCUCUUUCCUACCCAUUAAGAUGAACUGGCACAGUUUGGGUCACGGGGAUGAAUACUUGCUAAUUCCUCAAGUCAGCCUUGGUAACAUCAGUUCCUUCCAUGAAAAGCAAUACCCGGACUCCUACUUCCAGCAGUCGCCAAUGGGAGGUGCGUCCUUUCAGUGCCGCCUGCGGGUGACCCUGCCCUUUGCUUUGGUGGCAUCCGUGCUUACCUUCUUUUUGCCCUCCAGCGCCAUUUGCUUCACCUAUUGCCAGAUCCUUCUGGCAGCACGGAAACAAGCAAAGAGAGUGGCGGCAUUGAGCCACCCUCCUCACCCUCAUCCGUCCUUUGGAGAACCUGCCCAGCCUCCUUCGCCCGGUGUUGCUUCCGGGUCAGCUCAGCAAGAUGGAUGUGACUGCGGUCAUCAAGGACCUGCCAUGUCUCAAAAUGCACUGCUGUCUGUGACCAGUGAGCGCCGUCUUGCUCACAAGCAGGGUCGGAGGGCACUGAAGGCUAGCCUCACACUAGGAGUCCUUCUGGGACUUUUCUUCAGCACCUGGUUACCCUUUUUCAUCACAAACAUGGCUCAGGCAGUGUGUGAGUGUGUCCCACUUGCGCUGUUUGACGCCAUCACCUGGCUGGGCUACUGUAACAGCACCAUAAACCCUAUCAUCUACCCGCUAUUCAUGAGGGACUUCAAGCGAGCUCUGGCUAAGCUCCUGCCCUGCUGUUCAUCACGGUCACCCAGGAGACCCUCGCCGGCUCUCUCCAUCUCUUUGCGCAACUCAGGGGAGCCCAACAUGGCCAGCAACCUGACCUCGCCUCUGGACUCCGACCCUGCACACCCAGCAGCCACUGCCACAGACAGCGUCAACCUGCUGGAUGCCGAACACGCUGGGAUUGAGUUGCCUCUGCUUCUUCCCAACCAGGUGGACAAUCUGGACUGAAUCACUGUGGAAGCACAGCCAGUUAGUGACUGAGGAAUUACACGGGGAGGAUGGGCCAUUGAACUGCAACCUACCUGGAGUGCCCAGAAGUGUGAAAGUGUUCAAAGUUCAGAGACCUGGCCAUGGAAGGCUGAAACCCAAUCACCACUGAUCAAGAAAUAUAAGCUGAAAGACUGGACCAAGAUACAGAUCUUUCAAAGGUUUUAUGGACUGCUGAGAUGAGAGUGGCUCUUGACGGGCCAGAUGUUAUUGAUAAUGGAUAGGCACAUGGCUGGAUCAGUAACGUGACAACUUGUCCAUGGACAAGUUGUCCCCCAUGGACAACUUGCUCUUCUUAAAUGGGAGAUUUAAGGUGAAGAAAAGUGGUACACGUUUCUGAACAAUGUCGGAAGGCUGUGGAUGCUGCUGCAUAAAAAGUUGAUCAUCAACAGAUCGGCAACUGGCGGGUUCCAUAAAAGGAAGGUUGCUCAAAAGAAGGGUAGCGAUACUGUGAGAAGGAAAUUUGCCCUGCGACAGACUGGCAACCUAUCCAGGGUGAACCCCGCCUCUCGCCCGGAACAUAGCUGGAGAUAGGCACCAGCAACCCUCCCGACCCCAUUAGGGACAAGGGUGAAUAGAAAAUGGAUGGAUGGAUGAGAAGGAAAUUCCCCUGCAGAUGCAAUUUAUGUGCUUUGAUGCAGAACUGAGGAAAAGUACUAUGUACAUUCAAGUGAGUUUUUCACAUGCUUUUAUUUUUAUUUUCUUUAUUUUGUGUGCGUGUUAGGUUAUUGUCUGAGGAUAAAUGUUCAGUUUUAUUGUUUAUGUUUAAACAACAAAAUAUUAAAAUCAUAAAAAACAUCGGUUUUGAUGCUUUUUGGUCUAAAUAACACUGAAUGUAGUCAGAUUUCAGUGUAUUUAGGUUAGUUUUGGUGCUUGUAGUUUGAUAUUGCCGACAGAAAAGGUUUGUGUGGCUGGCGCACAUUUUCAGAGCAGGUCAAAAGUUUGCGUAUAUUUACAUUCAUUUUUAAACAAGCUGAUUAAGCAUAAAAUAUAACACCACACAUUUUUUAUGCAUACGCACGCUUUAUACAUGAGGUCUGUGACGGAGGAGCCGUCACGAGUUAGGACUUAAUUAGAGUCCGUGUCAGCAUGCAAGCACGCCCGCACAUAUACACACCAACACAUACACAAUCACUAACUUUUUUGUUGCAGCUUAAACUGAGGCAGUUCAUCGUGGGUGCACACACGGUGUUCCUACUUCAGUUAAACAUUCAUCCUAAACCCAUUAUUUUCAGCAUCAAACAUUUUCCUGGUUUUAUUUUCAAGUAGGGUUUUGUUUUUCAGAUGGUGGCUUGCUGGGAGGGAGUCACAUGAUGACUGCAUGAUGUCAUCAGAAUAGUACCAAGUGUUUUCUAUUAAAUUGAGUAUUGUAUUUUUGUUUACAAGUUUAUUUAUUUAUUUUUCUUAUUAUUAUUAUUGUUAUUAUUAUUAUUUUUGUAUACUUUAAGAGUUUAUUUGAGUAAUUGCUUAGAUUUUGAUUAUUUGGAGUUGUCUGUGGGCGGAGCCUGUGGCUUUAAAAGCAGGGCUCUGCUCCACGGGCAGUCAGUCUGUUGUUAGACUCACGCUGGAGGUGAUAGACUGUUGAUGGACUGUUGAACUGAAGCUGAAUAAAAUCCUCUAAAUCCUCUAAAGCAAUCUCCAACCUGGACUAGUCAUUAUGUUUGGCUAAAUCAUAAGAGAACACACAAGGCCCCUAAUCAUUAG